rnacentral:tRNA from 1 species
GGUUGCGUAGCUCAGUGGUUAGAGCGACUGCUUUACAUUGCAUGUGAAAACGCAGCAGGCCGCAGGUUCGAUCCCUGCCGCGAUCA